UACGUAGGGUGCAAGCGUUGUCCGGAAUUAUUGGGCGUAAAGGGCUCGUAGGCGGUUUGUCGCGUCGGGAGUGAAAACUCAGGGCUUAACCCUGAGCCUGCUUCCGAUACGGGCAGACUAGAGGUAUGCAGGGGAGAGCGGAAUUCCUGGUGUAGCGGUGAAAUGCGCAGAUAUCAGGAGGAACACCGGUGGCGAAGGCGGUUCUCUGGGCAUUACCUGACGCUGAGGAGCGAAAGUGUGGGGAGCGAACAGG
rnacentral:rRNA from 1 species